UGUGGGAGCUGGCUUGCCAGCGAUAGCGGUGUGUCUUUCACAUUGAUAUUGGAUGUGCUGACGUCAUCGCUGGCAAGCCAGCUCCCACA
rnacentral:misc_RNA from 1 species